rnacentral:rRNA from 1 species
UGAGGAAUAUUGGUCAAUGGGCGCAAGCCUGAACCAGCCAUCCCGCGUGCAGGAAGACGGCCCUAUGGGUUGUAAACUGCUUUUUCAGGGGAAGAAAACCCGCGACGUGUCGCGGCUUGCCGGUACCCUGGGAAUAAGCAUCGGCUAACUCCGUGCCAGCAGCCGCGGUAAUACGGAGGAUGCGAGCGUUAUCCGGAUUUAUUGGGUUUAAAGGGUGCGUAGGCGGAUUAAUAAGUCAGUGGUGAAAACCUGCAGCUUAACUGUAGACCUGCCGUUGAUACUAUUAGUCUUGAGUAUGGUCAAGGUAGGCGGAAUGUGUAAUGUAGCGGUGAAAUGCUUAGAUAUUACACAGAACACCGAUUGCGAAGGCAGCUUACUGGGCCAAAACUGACGCUGAUGCACGAAAGCGUGGGGAGCGAACAGG